GCAUAUCAAUAAGCGGAGGAAAAGAAACCAACAGGGAUUGCCCCAGUAACGGCGAGUGAAGCGGCAACAGCUCAAAUUUGAAAUCUGGCCUCACGGCCCGAGUUGUAAUUUGCAGAGGAUGCUUUUGGCGCGGCGCCUUCCGAGUGCCCUGGAACGGGACGCCAUAGAGGGUGAGAGCCCCGUCUGGUUGGAUGCCUAGCCUCUGUAAAGCUCCUUCGACGAGUCGAGUAGUUUGGGAAUGCUGCUCAAAAUGGGAGGUAUAUGUCUUCUAAAGCUAAAUAUUGGCCAGAGACCGAUAGCGCACAAGUAGAGUGAUCGAAAGAUGAAAAGCACUUUGAAAAGAGGGUUAAAUAGUACGUGAAAUUGUUGAAAGGGAAGCGCUUGUGACCAGACUUGGGCUUGGUGAAUCAUCCGGCGUUCUCGCCGGUGCACUUUGCCUGUCCAGGCCAGCAUCAGUUCGCCGUGGGGGAUAAAGGCGUGGGGAAUGUGGCUCCUCCGGGAGUGUUAUAGCCCCGCGUGUAAUACCCUGUGGCGGACUGAGGUUCGCGCUCCGCAAGGAUGCUGGCGUAAUGGUCAUCAGCGACCCGUCUUGAAACACGGACCAAGGAGUCGUCUUCGUAUGCGAGUGUUCGGGUGUCAAACCCCUACGCGUAAUGAAAGUGAACGUAGGUGAGAGCUUCGGCGCAUCAUCGACCGAUCCUGAUGUUCUCGGAUGGAUUUGAGUAAGAGCAUACGGGGCCGGACCCGAAAGAAGGUGAACUAUGCCUGUAUAGGGUGAAGCCAGAGGAAACUCUGGUGGAGGCUCGCAGCGGUUCUGACGUGCAAAUCGAUCGUCAAAUAUGGGCAUGGGGGGCGAAAGACUAAUCGAACCUUCUAGUAGCUGGGUUUCCGGCCGA
rnacentral:rRNA from 2 species